AUUGAACGCUAGCGGGAUGCUUUACACAUGCAAGUCGAACGAGUGGCGGACGGGUGAGUAAUGCAUGGGAAUCUGCCCAGUGGAGGGGGAUAACUACUCGAAACUGUAGCUAAUACCGCGUACCAUUGGAGGAGCCCAAGUGGGAUUAGGUAGUUGGUGGGGUAAAGGCUCACCAACCGACGAUCUGUAGCUGGUUUGAGAGGAUGACCAGACACACUGGGACUGAGACACGGCCCAGACUCCUACGGGAGGCAGCAGUGGGGAAUAUUGCGCAAUGGGGGAAACCCUGACGCAGCCAUGCCGCGUGUAUGAAGAAGGCCUUCGGGUUGUAAAGUUCUUUUGGCAGAGAAGCGUUAACUACAGAAGAAGCACCGGCUAACUACGUGCCAGCAGCCGCGGUAAUAC
rnacentral:rRNA from 1 species